UCCGGCUUUCACCGGCUGUCUCCUUAGAGAGCCCAACUGAAUGCUGGCAACUAAGGAUAAGGGUUGCGCUCGUUGCGGGACUGAACCCAACAUCUCACGACACGAGCUGACGACAACCAUGCACCACCUGUCACCAUUGCCCCGAAGGGAAACUCUAUCUCUAGAGUGGUCAAUGGGAUGUCAAGCCUUGGUAAGGUUCUUCGCGUUGCUUCGAAUUAAACCACAUGCUCCACCGCUUGUGCGGGCCCCCGUCAAUUCCUUUGAGUUUCAGCCUUGCGGCCGUACUCCCCAGGCGGAGUGCUUAAUGGGUUACCUUCGGCACUGGGAACGUGAUGUCCCCAACACCUAGCACUCAUCGUUUACGGCGUGGACUAC
rnacentral:misc_RNA from 1 species